AAUGGCUGCAGUAAUUUGACUGUACAAAGGUAGCAUAAUCAUUAGUUUUUUAAUUAAAAGCUUGUAUGAAAGGUUGGACGAAAUAAAUUCUGUCUCUUUUUAAUAAAAUUAGAAUUUAAUUUUUAAGUUAAAAAGCUUAAAUAUUUAUAAAAGACGAGAAGACCCUAUAGAGUUUUAUAAUUUGAAUUUAUUAAUUAAUUUAGAUUUAUUAAUUUUAUUUUUUUUAAAUUAUUUUAUUGGGGUAAUAGAAAGAUAAAAAAAAUUCUUUUUCUAUAAAAUCAUUAAUUUAUGAAAAUUUUAUGAUCCAUUAAGUUUUGAAUAUAAGAUUAAAUUACCUUAGGGAUAACAGCGUAAUUUUUUUUAAGAGUUCAUAUCGAUAAAAAAGUUUGCGACCUCGAUGUUGGAUUAAAGAUUAAUUUAGGUGUAGAAGUUUAAAUUUUUGGUCUGUUCGACCAUUGAAUCUUUACAUGAUCUGAGUUCAAACCGGUGUAAGCCAGGUUGGUUUCUAUCUUUAUUAAAAUUUUAUAUUUCAGUACGAAAGGACCAAUUAUAUUAUAUAUUUAUAUUUAAAUUAUUGAAUAU
rnacentral:rRNA from 1 species